rnacentral:lncRNA from 1 species
UAUAGGAUCAGGGUUCUUGCAGUGUCAGGGAUUUAAGACUUUUUAACUCCCCCUCCCCCGCCUUUUUUCCUUGCUUGUCUGAACAGCUCUGGGCUCCCCCGGCAUCACUUCAGUGCAAGGACCCGUCUGACACUACUUAUGCCAGGUCCUGCCUCCCUCACAGGAGAAGCAGUCUGCAACUUUUGCUGCUCUAGACAACACUUCAUCUCCGAGAGGCAGAGCUCUGCAGAGCGGAUCUGGGGUGAAGUGGUACCUUGGUGUGUCAUCGUGUCUUGGCUGUAGGAUGAAGGAGAUCAAGAUGACACUCAGUGAAGAUGAUAGAUACUGCAAAACGAUGGGCUUUCCUGGACUGUGAAGAGCUUGCCACUGUGCCAUGGUCCCCUGCGGAAAAGGAAGGCUGUCUGGAAGUUGCUGAGUUCUGUUUGUUUUUCCCAUCAGGAAGAGAUGGUUUUAAAAGYAGUUUAAGGGAGGUGGAAACCUCAAGCUCACGAGGUAGAAGAGCCCUGACGAACUGUAUGGGCAAAUGCAGGAUGGGUCCGUCCUCUUUCCUGUUGCUGCUGGCCCUGUUCAGCACCUUGCGGCCCUCUCCAGGAGGCUGCACUCCGAACCCUUCCCGGUUUCACUUUGCGAGUGGAAGGUGCUUGGAGAAGGGAGCAAAGGGUUCGUGCCCUUGCAGUGCAAGCUUACGGAAAUCUGUGCCCUGGGCUAAUUUGUUUUUUUUAAUAUUUUUUUUUAUGGGAACUCUUUUAAAAAACAAACAACCCAAAAGGCAAGCAUCUUCCAGAGCCGACGCUUCUCCCCUGCCCCGCCAAGUUGUGCUGUGCACCCUGGCCCCACCUUCUCUCCCUCCCGCUGCAUCUUCAUGUCACCGCAGGGAUGCGAGUGGCAUCGUGGCACUUGGUGAGCGGGGGCAGUGCUGUUUCCUGCUGCAGAAAGGGGACAGCGUCGGUGUAAAUUAGCCCGAUUUUUUGUGGGCAUUGGAAACUUCAGAGGCACUCUAUUCAUUGCUGUUAAAAGUGCUGCAGUAUUGGGUGGUCUGUAUAGAUGUCUUAUAUUAAAAGUAAUAAUAAUAAAAUAYUGCCAGUUUGGUUUUGUUUUCUGUGG